CUGAAUGAUGAUCAAAUAUUUCUUCACUUUGACCUGAAUUUGUAAUGAAGAAAUAACCAAAUCUGAUG